UUUUUAUAUGAGAGUUUGAUCCUGGCUCAGGAUGAACGCUGGCGGCGUGCCUAACACAUGCAAGUCGAGCGAUUCACUUCGGUGAAGAGCGGCGGACGGGUGAGUAACGCGUGGGUAACCUGCCUCAUACACAUGGAUAACAUACCGAAAGGUAUGCUAAUACAGGAUAACAUAAGAGAUUCGCAUGUUUCUCUUAUCAAAGCUCCGGCG
rnacentral:rRNA from 1 species